rnacentral:lncRNA from 1 species
AGUGUACUUCUCGGCACUGAAUUUGGAAAGCGGUGUUCUUAUCAGAAGAGACUGGAGAUGCAGAAAGACACCAAGCACAGGAGAAAGACAACAUGACCACCGAACACGGGCUGAACUGAAGCACCAUGAGCUUCAGUGGCAAACACUAGAAGCUAAGAAAGACACCAAGCAGGAGUGUCCCACAGAACCUUCAUGGACUGCUGGCUCCACAGGGGCCUUUGUUUCCCCGUCUCGCUUCCAAAAUUGAGACAAUCUAUGCUGCUGUCCUCAGCUGCUGACGUGGUCUGUGGCUUUUAUUGGAGAACCCUGGGGCUCGUAUAGAGGAUAGGAGAAGCACCAGCCGCCCUGGGAAAUGGGGUGUGAGCAGCAGGAAGCUGGGAAUGGCCCUCUAAGAAAAACAUCUCUAAAAAUGGGGAGUAUAGCAGACCAACAAUGUCACAUGAAACGGAAUACCCUCUUGCCUGGGUGGAUGCGUGUGCAAAUGCACUGAAAGCACAGUACAGGGGUCACUGUGAAGGUGCCCACGUCUCACUACAAAACUCUACUCAUAUUGAGUUGGCACAGAGAUCAUUAAAAGAGGCCAACAAGCAGUUUAUCAAGUAAGCAAAGGGCCAAAAGAUUCCUCCUUCGGAAUCCUCAGAAUCCUAAGCAAAGGUUUGAAGAAAACUGGAUGCUAGCCCCUCUUCCUCCCUCUCCAUCUUUAUCUAGCUGGUCUGACACAUAGUCUCCAUCCAUAGGUUGCAAGCAUUCCUCAGGCAGUCCCAUGUCCUGCCAGGGUUGAGAGUCACCAUUAAAUAUCUGAACCUUCUGAGAGAAGGUCAGCCUGGCACUAUUGUCCAUGAGUGUUCCUGGAUCACGCGCUCAGGGCCUGAGGUAAGCAAAGU